rnacentral:tRNA from 1 species
CGGACUUAAAAUCCGUCGACUUUUAAAAU